GUUAUUUUGCCACCGGGCAAAGGGUGCGAAAAGCAUUCGUCUGCACAUCGUUAGGUCUUUGAAGAUGUGCGAGCGGAUGCUUCUUUUUU
rnacentral:ncRNA from 1 species